rnacentral:rRNA from 1 species
GACGAACGCUGGCGGCGUGCCUAAUACAUGCAAGUCGAGCGGAUCUCUUCGGAGAUCAGCGGCGGACGGGUGAGUAACACGUGGGCAACCUGCCUGUAAGACUGGGAUAACUCCGGGAAACCGGGGCUAAUACCGGAUAACCCUUCGGACCUCAUGGUCCGGAGCUGAAAGACGGUUAUGCUGUCACUUACAGAUGGGCCCGCGGAGCAUUAGCUAGUUGGUGAGGUAACGGCUCACCAAGGCGACGAUGCGUAGCCGACCUGAGAGGGUGAUCGGCCACACUGGGACUGAGACACGGCCCAGACUCCUACGGGAGGCAGCAGUAGGGAAUCUUCCGCAAUGGACGAAAGUCUGACGGAGCAACGCCGCGUGAGUGAAGAAGGUUUUCGGAUCGUAAAACUCUGCUGUUAGGGAAGAACAAGUACGAGAGUAACUGCUCGUACCUUGACGGUACCUAACCAGAAAGCCACGGCUAACUACGUGCCAGCAGCCGCAGUAAGAC